GGCACUUGGGGUUCACAGCAGCCUCCUCUGGUUCCCUGAGAAGCACAUGCCAAGGAGAAUUCAAUACGGGAGAUUUAUUGAGGGAGAUGCCUGGGAGGAAAGAUGGCGGGGUCGCCAGACAAGGCUAGGAGAACCGUCAGACCACCAUGCAGGUCGGAAUCCAGGGAAGGAAAGAGGGAAGAAAGGAGGUUGGGUAGGAAGAUUGUCAGCCUGCAGUACAUUUUAACGAAGUUUCAGCAGGACCAAUGAGGCGUCUGUCUUAGUUCCAGAUGCUAUAACAAGACACCAUAGACGGGGGGCCUCAAAUAACAGAGACUUAUUUCUCACAGUUCUUGAAACCAGCAAGUCCAAGAUUAAGUUUCCAGCAGGUUCUAAAUCUGGUGAGAGCCCUCUUCCUGGUUUGCAGACAGCCACUGAUAGAAAGGUCAUCUCUCAGGUGUCCCCUCUUAUAAGGGCACUAAUCCCAUUCAUGAGUGCUCCAUCCUCAGGACCUAACCACCUCCCAAAGGCCCCACCUCCUCACACCAUCACAUUGGGGGUUAAGGCGCCAACACAUGAAUUUUGGGGGCACACAAAUUUGGGGGCAUGCGAGGAGUCCCACGUGUCUCAGAAGCAGUCCUGCCUUAGCAUCCCAGCCAUGCUUGGCCAUUGGUGGGGCAUCCAUGGGAGCAUGGACAUGCUGGACUGUGGUGGUGGAUUCAGAGCACAGCAGCUGGGGUGUCAGUCCAUUACACUUCCCCAGUAGGAGAUCUGAGAGGCACAAGUUCAACGCCAACACAUAGGCCCUCCUUUAUUUUAAAAAUGUAAAAACUCUCCUUAACUCAAGGGCUGUACAAAAACAGAAGGCAGGCUGGAUUUGGCCCAUGGCCCAGAGUUUGCUGACCCCUGGUUUAAGUUACAAGUUAAGGUUUAUAUUGCUUGCAGACAAAACCCUCCUAACUUCUACAAGGGGUAAGUACCACUGACACAGGGAUGCUGACUUAGGGAUGCUUGUCAUCCUAAUUCCCAUCGAAAUUGGUCCAUCGACAUUCAGGCUCACAAAUCUGCAGACCCUAUCUUACUUUCCUUCUUGCUUGCAUGAAAGAAUGGGUAUUUUCCUUUUCCUCUCAUCCUCUCCUCACCUCUUGAAGCUCCUAACUUAAGGUUAAGGUAAUGGGUAUGGGGUGGGGGCAGGGCUUCUGUAACAGAAGUCAGACCUGCAAAGAGAAAUAGAAUCUUACAGUUUAAUAAGGUAUGGGGGGCUCGCUAGCAAGAAUCAAAGAUCUGAUUGUCUUUUAGAUACUUCCCCACUGCCCCACUUCCCGGCCAGACCAGAAAGGUCACUUACUUUUGCCUCCAACAUACUAACACACACACACACACAAACACAUACACAUACUCCUAACUGAGGAAAUGAAUGGAGCAGAGAAUGGUUGAUAAACUUAAUCUUCAUGGGGGCAGAAGUCGUGUUGGACACCAAGGAGAUGGGGCCUUGAGGGAAAAAAAAGGUAAAAAGAAUUAAAUUGGAGGGAGGGAAGAAAGAGAAUGAGAGAUUGUGGAAGGAAGAGAGUGUGGGGUACUUCACCCCAGAUUUGGUCAAGUGGUGCACCCCCAAGGUCCAGGGCAGGGCCAAGACUCAUGGGAGAUCUCAGAGACAAGUUGGAAAGACCAGAGGAGCCAUUCCUGAAUCUCCACCUCAAGGUAGACUCUGCAAGGGCUGGACUAGACCACCUGAAGCUGCUGGGAAGGACAACCGAACAUUUCCAAGAUCCUACGUAGGCAUCACAGGCUAGACCGUUCUGCCCUGGACUGGACUGCUUCCGCUCCAGGAGAACAAGCGCUGUGCUGGGGUUACCCAGGUUAGUGGAGCAGCCAUUUAUCCAUGUGUAGUCCUCGACAAAAUUAAGGGGGCCAUGCCAAGGAUUUCUAAGGAAUCUUUAACAGAGACUGAGAGUAAUUUCUAAUAUUCCAGGUCUGUUCUCAUAUUUCUAAUUAUAACUUUGGGUUAUUAAAAUUUUUCUAUCACCAACAGACACUAGUAUUUAGGAGGCAGCUUAACUUCCUCAGCAGUUCAGGAGAUCGCAGAUCCAGAAACUUUUCCCAGAGAAUUUGGAUGAGGAUUGCUGGUGAACAUGAAAAGUGCAUGGUGAGAAGGGCAGUGGAUUGUCCUUCCCCAUUUCAUCAAGAUUUUAAAGGGGAAAACCCUGACUUAGUGACCACCUGUGGGGGCAAUGCCAUUCAUCUUGGUAUUAGCCUGCUGUGUUAGUCAGGAUUCUUGGGUGGCAGGCGAAAAUAAAGCCCCAGUGUAAACCAGCUUUAAUGAAAGGCAGGAAUGUGUUGGUUCACGUAACCAGACUGGGAGGAGAACAGGGCUGGGCUCCUUGCCGGAGUGGCUGGAACAAGGGUCUGCAACGCCAUCAGGAUUCUUGCUUUCUCGUCUCCUCUUUUCCCUGUGCCUUUGCUCCAUUGUUUUCAGACUAAACUUUUCAUGAGACAUCAUAGGGGGCAUGGCCACUAGUGGAUCCUGCUGCAUAUCCUCAGACUUCCUAACCAAAGGAGAAAAUCGUUCCGCUCUCCCAGAUCUAGUUUAAAAGUCCCCAUGGAAGACAGUGGUUGGCAAGGUUUCCUGUGCCCACUCCUGGGAUCAAUUUGUUGCACGAAGGGGCAUGGAAAUACCAUGAAUGUAGCCAGGAGGGUGGAAUCUGUUAAUAAAACAACGAGGGAAAUGGAGCUGGGCAGUCUGAACAGAUGAUGUGUCCCACAUCUCCCUUCUUCUGGGAACUGUUCCCUCCUCCCGCAUCCAGAGGAGGGAAGACUGAUCCCGCCCCUUUGCCACCCUGAUUGUCAGAUAUGGGCAUCUGCUGGUCCAUGGGAAUCCUCUCCCAGGAAUUAAGAACUGGGGUUCGGAGAUACCAGCUCAGUAUGCAGCUUGCUUGUACUGAGGAGAUGUUGAAGGAGCCAUUUCUUCACCAUCAGGAUGGGAGGGCUGGGAAACAAAAAGAGCUGGGCUGCA
rnacentral:lncRNA from 1 species